AGUGAACGCUGGCGGUAGGCCUAACACAUGCAAGUCGAACGGCAGCACAGUAAGAUCUUGCUCUUACGGGUGGCGAGUGGCGGACGUGUGAGGAAUACAUCGGAAUCUACUUUUUCGUGGGGGAUAACGUAGGGAAACUUACGCUAAUACCGCAUACGACCUACGGGUGAAAGCAGGGGAUCUUCGGACCUUGCGCGAUUGAAUGAGCCGAUGUCGGAUUAGCUAGUUGGCGGGGUAAAGGCCCACCAAGGCGACGAUCCGUAGCUGGUCUGAGAGGAUGAUCAGCCACACUGGAACUGAGACACGGUCCAGACUACUACGGGAGGCAGCAGUGGGGAAUAGUGGACAAUGGGCGCAAGCCUGAUCCAGCCAUACCGCGUGGGUGAAGAAGGCCUUCGGGUUGUAAAGCCCUUUUGUUGGGAAAGAAAAGCAGCAGGUUAAUACGCAGCUGUUCUGACGGUACCCAGAGAAGAAGCACCGGCUAACUUCGUG
rnacentral:rRNA from 1 species